ACGGGGGGAGCAAGCGUUGUUCGGAUUUACUGGGCGUAAAGGGCGCGUAGGCGGCCACUGCAAGUCAGUUGUGAAAUCUCCGGGCUUAACCCGGAAAGGUCAACUGAUACUGCAGGGCUAGAGUGCAGAAGGGGCAACUGGAAUUCUCGGUGUAGCGGUGAAAUGCGUAGAGAUGUGGAGGAACACCGAUGGCGAAGGCAGCCCCCUGGGUCAAAACUGACGCUCAUGCACGAAAGCGUGGGGAGCAAACAGGA
rnacentral:rRNA from 1 species